rnacentral:rRNA from 1 species
AUUGAACGCUGGCGGGAUGCUUUACACAUGCAAGUCGAACGGAGUGGCGGACGGGUGGGUAAUUUAUCGGAACGUGCCCAAUAGCGGGGGAUAACUACUCGAACACGUGGCUAAUACCGCAUACGAUUGGAUCGGCCGAUAGGGGAUUAGCUAGUUGGUGGGGUAAAGGCUCACCAAGGCAACGAUGCGUAGCUGGUCUGAGAGGAGGACCAGCCACACGUGGACUGAGACACGGCCCAGACUCCUACGGGAGGCAGCAGUGGGGAAUUUUGCACAAUGGGGGAAACCCUGAUCCAGCCAUCCCGGGUGUAUGAUGAAGGCCUUCGGGUUGUAAAGUCCUUGUUGCAGAGAAGCGGUAUCUGCAGAAGAAGCACCGGCUAACUACGGGCCAGCAGCCGCGGUAAUAC